rnacentral:lncRNA from 1 species
AUUUAAAAUCUACUGGUGGUCUCAGUGCUGGAAGUGUCCACAGGUAACCAGGUACCAGGUCCACAAUGAAGAGCGCAGUGUUUGUGGGGUUUGUUCUGUUUGCUCUCGUUCCUCUGAUCAAUGCCUAUUGCUGGCAGGAGCUUCUUAAAUUCGGAGCAACUCAUUGUCAGGAUGAUGUGGAUAAGACCUGGCAUGCUGUGGGAUCCUCCUGGACCAACAGCAGAUGUGACCAGUGCAGAUGUAGCAGUGUAAAGAGCUGCUGUAGUGGACUUCCAUCAGUGACCGUUGCUGACGACUGCACUGUGGAAUUUGAUUACAAUGCUUGUACAUAUGAGGUGUUUAAUAAGAAAGACAGGAACAUUAAAUGUAAUUACAGUGCUGUGGGGAAGUGAUCGCCAGAAUUCAGUCUAGACUAAUUCAGACUAUAGAUUAAUCUAACCUGAUUAAUUAUUUAAUGGACAGAAAUACUACAUUAGAAAUCCUGAAGCUCAGAGCAAAUAUAAAGUGCAUAGUAUUUACACUUAUUUGCAUUUAGAACAUAUUCAAGUUCAGGUUAAGUACUGCUACUAAAUACAACAACUACCAAUUACAAGAAUGCAGAUGAAUAUGUAUUCUAACUGUGAGGUCGUUUGGCCUAUUAAACACUGUUUGGUUGGUAUAAUAUACUAGAAUUCUGCUAUGAAAUAAUGUUAAAGAUUUCAUAAAUGAUUGUAAGUUGACAGCACAUUAAAGUCUAAUCCAUUUCUAU